rnacentral:lncRNA from 1 species
AGAGACUGAGGCAGGAAUUCCCAUGCAAUUGAUUUAUUGAGGGAGGCCCUAGGGAGAAACCUGCAAGGAAGUGAGGAAAGCGGAACAGCGCCAGGGAGGGAGCUGAGCAAACAUGUGCUUUCAGGAGAGGUCUGACCACAGCCUGAUUCCAAGGGGAGCGCUGCAGUGUUGGCCCCACCUUGAGGUCAGGGGCUGGCUUUUAUGCAGCACCCCAUUAGCCAGUCACUGGCCUUGGGCCACCCCGGCUGUGUGUGUAACCUCUCAGACACCCACCAGAGACAACUGUACCCACCACAGAGACACCAGCACCCACCAGAGACAACAACACCCACCACAGAGACACCAGCACCCAACUCAGAGACAACAACACCCACCAGAGACAACAGCACCCACCACAGAGACAACAACACGCACCUCAGAGACACCAACACCCACCUCAGACACAACAACACCCACCACAGAGACACCAGCACCCACCUCAGAGACAACACCCACCACAGAGACAACAGCACCCACCAGAGACACCAGCACCCACCUCAGAGACAACACCCACCACAGAGACAACAGCACCCACCACAGAGACAACAGCACCCACCUCAGAGACAACAGCACCCACUGCAGAGACACCACCCACCAGAGAGACAAUAGCACCCACCACAGAGACAACAGCACCCACC